GACGAACGCUGGCGGCGUGCUUAACACAUGCAAGUCGAACGGAAAGGCCCUGCUUUUGUGGGGUGCUCGAGUGGCGAACGGGUGAGUAACACGUGAGUAACCUGCCCUUGACUUUGGGAUAACUUCAGGAAACUGGGGCUAAUACCGGAUAGGAGCUCCUGCUGCAUGGUGGGGGUUGGAAAGUUUCGGCGGUUGGGGAUGGACUCGCGGCUUAUCAGCUUGUUGGUGGGGUAGUGGCUUACCAAGGCUUUGACGGGUAGCCGGCCUGAGAGGGUGACCGGCCACCUUGGGACUGAGAUACGGACCAGCCUCCUACGGGAGGCAGCAGUGGGGAAUAUUGCACGAUGGGCGGAAGCCUGAUGCAGCAACGCCGCGUGCGGGAUGACGGCCUUCGGGUUGAAAACCGCUUUCGCCUGUGACGAAGCGUGAGUGACGGUAAUGAGUAAAGAAGCACCGGCUAACUACGUG
rnacentral:rRNA from 1 species